rnacentral:misc_RNA from 1 species
GUCCAAUGUUCCAUUAUCCAAUUUUAAUAACAUUAUACGGCUUUUUAGUUUUAUUUUUUAAAUAGGUGAAGGAAUCUAAUAAGAACACAAUAUCACUUUGCAAUAUCCACCUACUCGUAUCCCCUGAUCUCAUUUAAAAGGCUUCUUCUUCCACCAGCCUAGCUUGCAGAUCAGUAAAUAUAACAAUAUUUCCAACAAACUGGAGGAGUUCCAACAACCAUGAUUGGCUGAUUCUUUAUUAGAAUUCUCUCCCCCUCCUAUCAAAAUUCACGGAUACAACCGUGAAUUGCUUCAACCUGAAUUGAAAAGAACGCACAAAUGAUAGUAAAUUGACAGAAGUGGAAUUCCCAGCAAUUACAAGAACGUAACUUUACAAAAGCCCAUUUUUUACGCGAACAAAUGCUGAAGCUAAUUUCCAAUGAACGAUACCAGAACGCAAGCUGUCAAUGCACUAUCACAAUCCCAAUGAGUUUAAUACAGUAACAACAGUAAGCUCUCAGUUGAUUACAGAUCCAGACAAAUGGAAAUAAAUAGCCUUGGAGCUGUGAUUCACAUAAACCCUAAAGUGUACCUUCUCUGCUGCUAAUGCACUUGAUUAUUCCCUGUUUUCCUCUGGAAAAGAAGUGAUCCUAGAAUAACAGCAAUGCCUGUUAUUGCAAUGGUGAAAAAAAGCCGUCUCCGUGAUGAAUAAUCAUGUGGCUGCCUUCUUGGAGCACCUGGUGCUCUUUCAGCUGCUCUCACAUCCCUUCAAACAUUCCAAAUAUGUUAGGGCCAUGAAUGAUAAUAUCAGGGAUGACAAUAGAUAUCUGAACACAAGGCACAAAUCCUGUACUGACAAAUUAACACUUCAAUCAGAAAGUACAAAAUCCAGGAGUUCCCUAAGCAGCUAAGCCUCAAUUAUGUAGUUGCACUUGUAUAACUUGAAAAACAUUUCCCUUCUACUCCUAAAGUUCAGGAAAACUACUAAAAAAACUCAUUAAUGUUUUAGCAGAUGAGAAGACCCUUUUAAUAGCAUGUGCUUUCAAAAAAUUGCAACAGAUUGAACCAUCACCACAAAUAAUACCCACAUUCUCAUAUAUUUUCUGUUUUCAUUUCACCGUGACUUGCAAUAUCCACUUCAAUGGUUAAAUAUAUUUCCACUACAGAUCCACCCACAGAGGUUUCCCACAUCAAAGGGAUUGACUGGAGAUGCACUUCGAAAAAUUGCCUUCAAAAUAAGCCCCAAAAGUGUACACACUUAAAAGCCAACACAAGAUUAAGACAACUGAGUAAAACUAUAAAUCACUAACAGCUAAAGCAAAAGCAAACCAAU